CCUACGGGAGGCAGCAGUGGGGAAUAUUGCUCAAUGGGCGAAACCCUGAUGCAGCGACGCCGCGUGAGUGAAGAAGGAACUCGUUAUGUUAAGCUCUAUCAGCCGGGAAGAAAAGGACGGUACCUGAGUAAGAAGCAGCGGCUCAGUACGUGCCAGCAGCCGGGGUAAGACGGAGGGGGCAAGGGUUAUCCGGAUUUAGUGGGUGUAAAGGGAGCUUAGUCGGCAGAGAAAGUCUGGAGUGAAAGGCGGUGGCGUAACCCACGGACUGCUGUGGAAACUGUACGGCUGGAGUGCAGGAGAGGUAAGCGGAAUUCGUGGUGUAGCGGUGAAAUGCUUAGAUAUUAGGAGGAACACCAGUGGCGAAGGCGGCUUACUGGACUGUAACUGACGUUGAGGCUCGAAAGCGUGGGGAGCAAACAGGAUUAGAUACCCUUGUAGUC
rnacentral:rRNA from 1 species